AGUGUUGGUUCCUGCACACUGCAGCUGGCUCUUGUACCUACUUGUAUCUCUCAGCUCAUCUGCACCACGUCUAUGUAUACAAACAUUACACAUCCAGCAGACAAUACAUGUUUCUUAUCUCCUGCAACCCACAAAUAUCCUUUGCAUUCAGUGUCCAACAUCUCAGUACCCUGCAGUAUUGUAUUUCGUUCAUGAACAACAUACAAUCUACCCAUUGCUUGGAGAAAGAGUCCUUUGUCUGAAGGAAGUGUCAACACUCGAGUCUUUCCUUGAUUUUGUCUUGGCAGUUACCAGCUCCUCCAUAUUUGGUAGCAGAUUCAAAAUGUUAUCUUCCACAAUUUAUGGAAUAAUUCCAGAGCCUUGUAAGAAAUUUUUGAAGGCUGAUUCACUUAAAUGUCCUCACCAGUGUUUCAAGAGAUCACUUUUUUUCAGGGCAGUAAUGUGAGCCAUCCUUACAUCUCACUGACACAUUACCUCAUCAUCAUCAUCAUCGUUUAAUGUCCGCUUUCCAUGCUAGCAUGGGUUGGACAGUUUUGACUGAGGGCUGGCGAACCAGAUGGUUGUACCAGGCUCCAAUCUUGAUCUGGCAGAGUUUCUACAGCUGGAUGCCCUUCCUAACGCCAACCACUCCGAGAGUGUAGUGGGUGCUUUUUACGUGCCACCGGAAGCCUUCACAUCGUGAGAAUAAGCACAGGCCUGAAUUUGUCCACCUCCUUGUCUGACCAUUGGUCUUUCAGGUGCCACAUUUCCUUUUGUAGUAAGGCAUUCACAUCACUGACUCAGAUGGUUGCUUGUCAUGUGACCGACUCAUUACAAACAGUUAGAUGGUACUUUUGAAUAAACCCUUCAAGAGGAUGCCCAAGCAUAGCCAUAGUCCAAUGCCUGAAGCAAGUAAAAAACAAAAAAGAAUAUAACUACAUCUUUUGGUCGUAUUUUUCAAAUCAAAAUAAAGACUAUUUUCUUUUA